rnacentral:rRNA from 1 species
UCUGUGUGACUGCGUACCUUUUGUAUAAUGGGUCAGCGACUUAUAUUCUGUAGCAAGGUUAACCGAAUAGGGGAGCCGAAGGGAAACCGAGUCUUAACUGGGCGUUAAGUUGCAGGGUAUAGACCCGAAACCCGGUGAUCUAGCCAUGGGCAGGUUGAAGGUUGGGUAACACUAACUGGAGGACCGAACCGACUAAUGUUGAAAAAUUAGCGGAUGACUUGUGGCUGGGGGUGAAAGGCCAAUCAAACCGGGAGAUAGCUGGUUCUCCCCGAAAGCUAUUUAGGUAGCGCCUCGUGAAUUCAUCUCCGGGGGUAGAGCACUGUUUCGGCAAGGGGGUCAUCCCGACUUACCAACCCGAUGCAAACUGCGAAUACCGGAGAAUGUUAUCACGGGAGACACACGGCGGGUGCUAACGUCCGUCGUGAAGAGGGAAACAACCCAGACCGCCAGCUAAGGUCCCAAAGUCAUGGUUAAGUGGGAAACGAUGUGGGAAGGCCCAGACAGCCAGGAUGUUGGCUUAGAAGCAGCCAUCAUUUAAAGAAAGCGUAAUAGCUCACUGGUCGAGUCGGCCUGCGCGGAAGAUGUAACGGGGCUAAACCAUGCAC